rnacentral:rRNA from 1 species
AUUUUAAAUCUAGCCUAAGUAUAAAACACUAAUUAUAAAUAUACAAAACAUUAUCAUAUGAUAGU